rnacentral:rRNA from 1 species
GAAGGCCUUCGGGUUGUAAAGCACUUUAAGCAGGGAGAAAAAGUUAUAAGUUAAUACCUUAUAACCGUGUUGUUACCUGCAGAAUAAGCACCGGCUAAUUCCGUGCCAGCAGCCGCGGUAAUACGGAAGGUGCAAGCGUUAAUCGGAAUUACUGGGCGUAAAGCGCGCGUAGGUGGUUUGUUAAGUUGGAUGUGAAAGCCCUGGGCUCAACCUAGGAACUGCAUCCAAAACUAACUCACUAGAGUACGAUAGAGGGAGGUAGAAUUCAUAGUGUAGCGGUGGAAUGCGUAGAUAUUAUGAAGAAUACCAGUGGCGAAGGCGGCCUCCUGGAUCUGUACUGACACUGAGGUGCGAAAGCGUGGGUAGCGAACAGGAUUAGAUACCCUGGUAGUCCACGCCGUAAACGAUGACAACUAGCUGUUGGGAAACAAUGUUUUUCAGUGGCGCAGCUAACGUUU